rnacentral:rRNA from 1 species
ACUCCUACGGGAGGCAGCAGUGGGAAUAUUGCACAAUGGGCGCAAGCCUGAUGCAGCCAUGCCGCGUGUGUGAAGAAGGCCUUCGGGUUGUAAAGCACUUUCAGUUGUGAGGAAAGGUUAGUCCUAAUAUCGGUACUAGCUGUGACGUUUAGCAACAGAAGAAGCAACCGGCUAACUCCGGUGCCAGCAGCCGCGGUAAUACGGAGGGUGCGAGCGUUAAUCGGAAUUACUGGGCGUAAAGCGCGUGUAGGUGGCUUGUUAAGCCAGAUGUGAAAGCCCCGGGCUCAACCUGGGAACUGCAUUUGGAACUGGCAGGCUAGAGUUUUGUAGAGGGUGUAUGAAUUUCAGGUGUAGCGGUGAAAUGCGUAGAGAUCUGAAGGAAUACCGGUGGCGAAGGCGACCACCUGGCCAAUAACUGACACUGAGACGCGAAGGCGUGGGUAGCAAACGGGAUUAGAUACCCUGGUAGGCUCUG